GUCCACAGUCCUUGUAAGUGGGCUAGGGGCUUCCGGCAAGGGCAAGUGAGCUAGAUUUUCAAGUUACUGGGAAGCAGCUUUUAGGAAGUUAACCUGGAGGGUGGAGGGCAGCUCAGGAACGGCGAGUCUCGCUGGUGCCGUGCCUAGUGGGCUCGCGGCCGAGCGCCGUGGCCGGGUGUUGGGGAGGCUCGCGGGCCGAGCCUCAUGGGUCCUUGUGCGUUUGUCCGGCAGUGCGGUUGCCUCCGUCUCCGGAGCCCGAGGAUCCCGAAGGACGGGCGCCCGCUCCCCGGGCCUGCCGUGGGGAGCGCGCACACCCGAGGGAACUGGAUGGCAGAUUCCUGGCAGAGUAUUAAAGAGGAGCAGCAACCCACGCUGAGGUUGCAAAUCAGUGAAGGGUUGCUGGUACGUGAUGACCAGCUGCUGAGCAUUGGAGCACACAGCAAGCAGAGCGUCGGCCAGCCAUGAGCGUCCGCUGAGCACCUCUGUCCAUUCCCGCAGGGUUUGCGUGCUGCAGAAUGGUGAUAAGUACAGUCCUGAAGCGGCGGCGUCAGCUUAAAAGAGGUUCUUCUCCCAGAGGAUGGUCCGCUGUGCCUGCAGCAGGGGCAGAGUGAGACGUCCCAAGGGCCCGUGGCCACCAUCAGUUUGGACUCAACCUGAUAUAGUCAACAAUGUAAUGACUUUGUAUGUGGUGAGCAUUUUGUAAUGUACCUAAAUGUGGAAUCGCUAUGUUGUAUACCUGAAGCUAAUAAUGCGUCAACUGUACUUAAGUUAGGAAAACAACCUCUAAGGUUCAACACUUGAUGUAGAAAUAUGCUUAAUGCUGAGAUUCAGAGGCCAUUCUUAUCAAUAAUAGAGCCAAGAAAUGUAUUUGCAUCAUUAAAUUCAUGAGUGUUCUAGUGUUUUCCUUUGUUCCAAAGGAACUUCUGUAUUUAGUAUGAAUUUGUUACACUGGAUGAGAGUCUUGAGUUCUUGAAGCUGGAAACAUUUCCUCUCAAAAUUAGUAACUCUCCAUGCAAUUAAACCGACACUGUAAUAAAGGA